GGUUCGACUCGAGCGCCAGCGAGAGAGCGUUGCCGCAGGCAACGACCCGUAGGGCGAAGCGCGCAGCGCUGAGUAAUCCUUCCCCCACCACCA
rnacentral:sRNA from 1 species